CCCUUGAUAGCUCAGUUGGUAGAGCGGAGGACUGUAGAUCCUUAGGUCGCUGGUUCAACUCCAGCUUCAAGGAG